AUACGGAGGGUGCAAGCGUUAUCCGGAAUCAUUGGGUUUAAAGGGUCCGUAGGCGGACUAAUAAGUCAGGGGUGAAAUCCCACAGCUUAACUGUGGAACUGCCUUUGAUACUGUUAGUCUUGAGUUAUAUGGAAGUAGAUAGAAUGUGUAGUGUAGCGGUGAAAUGCUUAGCGAUUACACAGAAUACCGAUUGCGAAGGCAGUCUACUACAUAUAUACUGACGCUGAGGGACGAAAGCGUGGGGAGCGAACAGGAGUAGAUACCCCAGUAGUCC
rnacentral:rRNA from 1 species